ensembl:rRNA 5S_rRNA 5S ribosomal RNA
CUCUAUUGCCAUACCAUCCUGAAUGUGCCCGAUCUCAUCUGAUCUCGGAAGCUAAGCAGGGUCCGGCCUGGUUAGUACUUGGAUGGGAGACCACCUGGGAAUACCGGGUACUGUAGGCU